rnacentral:rRNA from 1 species
ACACAUGCAGUCGAGCGGGGNNNNNGUAGCUUGCUACACUGACCUAGCGGCGGACGGGUGAGUAAUGCUUAGGAAUCUGCCUAUUAGUGGGGGACAACAUUCCGAAAGGAAUGCUAAUACCGCAUACGCCCUACGGGGGAAAGCAGGGGAUCUUCGGACCUUGCGCUAAUAGAUGAGCCUAAGUCAGAUUAGCUAGUUGGUGGGGUAAAGGCCUACCAAGGCGACGAUCUGUAGCGGGUCUGAGAGGAUGAUCCGCCACACUGGGACUGAGACACGGCCCAGACUCCUACGGGAGGCAGCAGUGGGGAAUAUUGGACAAUGGGCGNAAGCCUGAUCCAGCCAUGCCGCGUGUGUGAAGAAGGCCUUUUGGUUGUAAAGCACUUUAAGCGAGGAGGAGGCUACUUGGAUUAAUACUCUAGGAUAGUGGACGUUACUCGCAGAAUAAGCACCGGCUAACUCUGUGCCAGCAGCCGCGGUAAUACAGAGGGUGCGAGCGUUAAUCGGAUUUACUGGGCGUAAAGCGUGCGUAGGCGGCUUUUUAAGUCGGAUGUGAAAUCCCUGAGCUUAACUUAGGAAUUGCAUUCGAUACUGGGAAGCUAGAGUAUGGGAGAGGAUGGUAGAAUUCCAGGUGUAGCGGUGAAAUGCGUAGAGAUCUGGAGGAAUACCGAUGGCGAAGGCAGCCAUCUGGCCUAAUACUGACGCUGAGGUACGAAAGCAUGGGGAGCAAACAGGAUUAGAUACCCUGGUAGUCCAUGCCGU